rnacentral:lncRNA from 10 species
GACGCAGCACUUCCGCCGGCGACUCGGGCUCGCGCGGGGGCGCGGGGGACGCGCCGGGCUGGGCUGUGGGGUCGACCCCCUGCCUCUCUUCUCCGCGGGUGUGCAGAUCGCCGCCGGCCGAGGCUUGCCGCCGCCGCCCCGACUGGGGGAAUGAGCAGGCGCCAGGUCUUGAAUUCCUGUCAGGGCCGGUCUGGGGGCUCCCUGCUGAAGCCCCUGUCCCUGAUCCCGCAACCUCCCGCGUGCGUUGGGAAGGGGUCGCGGGUAGCGGCCGUCCUUUGGAUGCACGUGUGAUGGCUUUUGGCUUAAUUUCACAUUGUUUUGUUUGUUUUUUGAGACAGGGUCUCUUUCGCCCAGGCUGGAGUGUGAUCACGGCUACUGCAGCCUCGAUCUCCAGGGCUCAAGUGAUUCUCUCACGUCGGCCUCGCAGUAACUGGGACCACAGACAUGAGCCACCAUGCCUGGCUUUUUUUUGUUUUGUUUUGUUUUGUUUUUUGUAGAGACAGGGCGGGGUGUGAGACUCUCAUCUUGUUGCCCAAGCUGGUCUCCUGAGCUCAAGGAUCUGCCCUCCUCGGCCUCCCAAAGCGCUGGGAUUACAGCUUGAUACCCUACCUUGUUUUAACCUGAUUGACUCGCUCUUAGCUGAGAGAGCGGGACAGACUCCAUUUUGGUUUCUUCGCUUGCAGCACCUUGUCCCCCUCCCUUAAGGACAUAACUGGUGCAGACUGACACCAAGCACAUCCAGGAAUGUG